rnacentral:lncRNA from 1 species
GUAUUCCCUACCUCCAUUCUCUUUCCUCUAGGUGCUCUGUAUUAGAAGAGCAGGAAUGAAGUAAAAUACUGAGGAAUCCAGGAGCAGUUCUGUGAGUGCUUUGGAUGGUUCCAAGCUUGACUUCCAUAAAACACUUAGCAGGUCGAAAUGCAGGUUUUAUUUUUCCAGUUGUGACCUUCAGUACCUAUCCUGUGUCUUUUAAGAAUUUCCUCAUCCAGGGAACAGAUUUGUUGGCUUAAGAAUAACUGAUACUGCCACAUUCUGCAGAAGGCGAGCUCUCUGCUCCUCUGCCCAGCAGAACCAGUUUUGGUUACAGUUGUUUGCUGUGGUGCUUGCUCUUUGGCACUUCCUUGCUUUUUUUUUGCCAGUAGAAAUGUGCAGAAUGGUGCCCAACUGUGAGCUGGAAACUGGGAUCGUGCCUGUAGUUUUCAACCCAAGCAAAGGGUCUACAAGAGUGUUGGUCACCUGUUGAUUAAAGAAUUAAAUCUCAGCAAACUCCAGCCUGAAUGAUACGUCUAAUGACCGACCUCACUUGGAGGGAACAGUGCCAUGUUGUGAUGGAAUAAAGUGUCAGCAUGUCUUAGGUAAAUAAGACA